CCCUCUCCGGUCGCUGAGGCUGAGUGAGACUCCACACCUGCACUGAAUCUGCAAUCAAGGCCUUUAAGAAGCCAGCAGCCCUCAGUCUCAGUGCCUGAGUAUUGUCUUCACUCCUGAGUGGUAUAGACGCGUCUCCUGGCCUCCUUUGUGCAUAAGUGUUAGUAAGUUUGCUCCCUGUGAUUCAUUGUAUGCUUACUCACUUCUAUCUCCUCUGUUUUCUCUGCAGUGUCUCCAGCCCACACAACAGCCAGCCAGCCAGCCAACCGGACUUUCUCUUUUGCCUUUACCCUUGAGUUUGGACAUUAAAAUUACAUCUUUCAUUUGCUAUCUGCCUCUGUGUCUGCUUCUGGG